ensembl:lncRNA
UUGUGAGACUAGCGUUUCCAGUUUCCAACCUUAAAGCAGUCCGUGCAGGAUUUUGCGUUCGCAGAAAUUGAAUGCAAAAUCAAGGAAACGUUACGACAGAUUUUCCAUAGAUUUGAGAUGUUGUGAUGUCAUCACAACACGCAUUCAGCCAAAGCCCUCUGCAAUUCAUGUGUGUUGAACAUGAGUACAGCUAAAAGGUCUCAUUUACCAACAAACAUCACUGCGAAAGACCUGCAAUUUCGUCAAUUUGAGUAGUUUUCCACAAAAACAAACAAACAAACAAAAAAACUCUGCAGCAAAAUCAAGUAUUUUUGGCUGCAACAAUCACAAAAAAAACCUCAGCGAAAUCCUGUACGGACUGUUAAAGGAUUUUUCUUGUUACACACUUAAAUAUAGAACAUGCAGGUUGUCUUUGGUUAUUUAUAUGAAGGACCAAGAAUGGUUUAAUUUUAGAACCUUUAACAAAAGCUCUAAAAAUGAAACUCUUGUAACCGGUUCGACUCGGUGUUAAAGUCUAGUCAGAAUUUGCCUUAUUGAUUUGCAUACAGUAUGUACUAGUUUCAGAAAAAAUAAUGGCUUAACUGUAUUAACUGUGGUCCUACGAUUACACAGGUACACAGGCAUGGUACAAAAUGUCUCAAGUUCUCAUCACUGAACAGUGUUGCCAGCUGUGUGUGUGUGUGUGUGUGUGUGUGUGUGUGUGUGUGUGUGUGUGUGUGUGUGUUUGUAUGCGUGUAUGUAUUGUGUGGGGCACAGGCUACUUUUCAAGCAUGAUGAAUGUCCAAAGAAAUGCUGACCGUUUGUUUCCUGCAGACCGUGAACGCUGAGCCAGUGACUGUAGCCCUCACAACUCAGUAGCUAUCUUUCUCACUUCACCUAGUCUCCAUCCGUAUACAUUCACUCCUUAACUUUUUUUUUUUUUGGUAUGCUAAUAUUUUUUCUUUAAUUUGUAAUUUAUACAUAUUUUUGUCCUUUUUAAAUUUUUUUUUAUUUAUUUCUUUGUAUAUAGAUCCAUUGCUACUGUAUAGGUUGUGUGCAAUUUCUUUUCUGUGUGUUUCUUGCCACUUUUGUUUUGGUCUUGGAUGGGUCUACAUUUCGUCUUCUUCCGCACGCUGUGGAUUAAGGAGCUACUGGAUUUUCUGAAUGUCAAGAGCUACAAUACUGUUAACUUGGGCUGCUAGCUGAAAUUGCCAUUAUCAUAGAUGAGGAACAUAUCCA